UGAAACCGUUCGGGGGUAAACGGACAGAGCCCGUGAAUCCGGACGGCGGAAUUCAGAAUCGGACGGGUGUGCCGACUGGGCACGGCCGGACGGUUUGAUGUUUCCGUCGUCGAGAAGCGGACGUCGCGACCCGUUCGACGUCGGUCCUCGCUCUUUUUCCGGAGGAGCCGCGAACGAGUUUGUUGCGCGAUGUGCGGAAGYGUGUGUGUUCCGCACACACGCUCUCGCUUCGCGCCAGCAAAGUCGCGGAUUUCUGGCCGACCUCGUCGGACGGUAUGCGUGUACGGUGGGCGGCGGAACCGUUACACCAGCGAGUAGUUGUUCCGCCGUUACCGGUCGGCGACGAUUUCUUCGGGCCU
rnacentral:rRNA from 1 species